rnacentral:sRNA from 1 species
UCCUCUGUUCCAAUUAAGCUUCUAGAAAUUCAAAGCCAACUUGCUGUCUGGAUGAUUAUAUUGAUUCGGGGAUGCACUGGCGUCCAUAGUUUACAGCUUGCAGCUCCCAUUAAGAGUUGCUAUUAUUUGUCCUAAAGAAUGCUCAUAUCUUUUCUGUAGCUCCCUUAUUGUGGCCAGUACUUGUGGUUGCACCUUUGGCCGCCAUUGUUGCCAGUCAACCUGUUAUCUCUUCCACAUUCUCAGUUGUCAAGUAAUGCAAUGCCAUAUGAUGUUUCCCUAGCAUCAAGGUUGUAGUCAAGGUUGUACAUACAAAGAGAUGGAUACCUGGCCAGAUAUACAUCCCUGAGUUGAGUUGGUUUCUUCAUGAUCCUCAGUUUGGCUGUCACAAUUGGUUUUCGAGACACAAUUCGUAUAGCAAAUGCUUAUGUCAUAACGACGUGGCUGGCAUCGCUUGUCAUCAACCUUGUUUGGCAUCAGGGUUUCAUGCUGUCCCUUUUUAUUUCGUGAACUUUUCGGUUCAGUUGAAGCCGUCUACCUUUCAUCUUUGUGUGUGAGAAUCCUCAAAGGUACAUGGCUUCCCCUAGUUUAAGUCUGCAGUCGUCGUGGUAGUUAUGUAUCACUGGCAAUAUGGCACGCAGAAGAAGUAUUUGUAUGACUUGCAUAACGAGGUUUCAAUGCUCACGCUGGGUCCCAGUCUUGGCAUUGUUAGGGUCUCUAGAAUCAGCCUCAUCUACACUGAGUUGUCUACCGGAGUCCCAGAAUCAUUUACUCAUUUCUUAACCAACCUACUGGCGCUUUUACCAAGUGAUUGCCUUUGUUUGCGUUGUAAAGACAUAUGGGAAGUUUGGCACGGUGUUGGUUAUGGCACAAACAUCUGGCCUUGGAGAGAGCAGCUGU